rnacentral:rRNA from 1 species
UUGACCUCGGAUCAGGUAGGGAUUACCCGCUGAACUUAAGCAUAUCAAUAAGCGGAG